rnacentral:rRNA from 1 species
UACGAAGGGGGCUAGCGUUGUUCGGAAUCACUGGGCGUAAAGGGUGCGUAGGCGGAUUCUUAAGUCAGGGGUGAAAUCCCGAGGCUCAACCUCGGAACUGCCUUUGAUACUGGGGAUCUUGAGUCCGGAAGAGGUGAGUGGAACUCCUAGUGUAGAGGUGGAAUUCGUAGAUAUUCGCAAGAACACCAGUGGCGAAGGCGGCUCACUGGCCCGAUACUGACGCUGAGGUGCGAAAGCGUGGGGAGCAAACAGG